rnacentral:rRNA from 1 species
AACGAACGCUGGCGGCAGGCCUAACACAUGCAAGUCGAGCGAGAACUUCGGUUCUAGCGGCGGACGGGUUAGUAACGCGUGGGAAUAUGCCCUUCACUACGGAAUAGUCCCGGGAAACUGGGUUUAAUACCGUAUACGCCCUUCGGGGGAAAGAUUUAUCGGUGAAGGAUUAGCCCGCGUUGGAUUAGGUAGUUGGUGGGGUAAUGGCCUACCAAGCCGACGAUCCAUAGCUGGUUUGAGAGGAUGAUCAGCAACACUGGGACUGAGACACGGCCCAGACUCCUACGGGAGGCAGCAGUGGGGAAUCUUAGACAAUGGGGGCAACCCUGAUCUAGCCAUGCCGCGUGAGUGAUGAAGGCCUUAGGGUUGUAAACCUCUUUCAGCACAGACGAAGCGAAAGUGACGGUAUGCGCAGAAGAAGGACCGGCCAACUACGUGCCAGCCGCCGCCGUAACAC